rnacentral:rRNA from 1 species
UGGGGGAUAUUGCACAAUGGGCGAAAGCCUGAUGCAGCGACGCCGCGUGGGGGAUGAAGGCUUUCGGGUUGUAAACCUCUUUCGCUAUCGAACAAGGCCCGCUUAGGGUGGGUUGAGGGUAGGUGGAGAAGAAGCGCCGGCUAACUACGUGCCAGCAGCCGCGGUAAUACGUAGGGCGCGAGCGUUGUCCGGAAUUAUUGGGCGUAAAGGGCUUGUAGGCGGCUUGUUGCGCCUGCUGUGAAAACGCGGGGCUUAACUUCGCGCGUGCAGUGGGUACGGGCAGGCUUGAGUGUGGUAGGGGUGACUGGAAUUCCAGGUUUAGCGGUGGAAUGCGCAGAUAUCUGGAGGAACACCGAUGGCGAAGGCAGGUCACUGGGCCAUUACUGACGCUGAGGAGCGAAAGCAUGGGUAGCGAACAGG